GCCAGGUGCUGUGGCGCAUGCCUGUAAUCCCAGAGGCUGGGGAGGCUGAGGCAGGAGGAUCAUGGGUUCGAGGCUAGCCUCAGAAAAGUAGCAAGGCCCUAAGCCACUUAGAGAGACCCUGUUUCAA
rnacentral:sRNA from 1 species